rnacentral:lncRNA from 1 species
CCUACGGAUAUAUUAAUUUUUAGAGUGAGAAGUCAAGUUAUCUUUUGAGGGAAAAAUAUCUAAUAUUUAACAAGCUCGAUGAYUUCUUUUUGACUCAUGCAACUAUUUUUAGUAUUUAAAUAUUGAAUAUCUAUAGCUUUCAGCUAUAUUGCAGUUUGGUCUUAGCUUUUAAUUUAGCUGAGUAAAAUUUAAAGCCUAUGUAUUUCAUUUGUGUAUGGAUUUAUUUUUGACAGAGGACUUAGAGCUGCCAUUAAAUAAGUUUACAUUAUGAAGUGAUUUUUAAAUGUAUUUUUCAGGAGAAAUCAUGAGAGAUGAUGUAUGUAAAAGCAGGAAAUGCGAAGAAUUGCUGAACAACAUCAAUUUUUCCCAUAUGACCUUCUAGCAAAAGACUGUAUCAACAAGCUAACUGACAAGACCAGUACACUUCAAUUCAUUGCCUUCCUUCCAUGCCUUAGGAUGAUUUGUGUAGACAUAGUACAGUGGUGCAGUGUUUGUUCUGUGACCUUCUGGAUAUCAUGUCGCAAGUCAAAAGCACCUCAGACUUACAGAGGAUCGCUUCUUUUUCGACAUCAGAGGAAGGUACAAAAACACAUCAUUACUAUAUGGUUGGCAGCAGUACUUCUCUGUUUUUGCUUGUUGAAAUGUUGGCAAGAGAUUGGGCCUAAACUGAAAAAUAUGCAGCUGAGGAGAAGGGCUUUGUUAGCCUGCUGGAGCAGUUGUCCUCAAAAGCCCAAGACUACAGAAGCACCACGGAGCUGA